rfam:Camelus ferus unplaced genomic scaffold scaffold1443, whole genome shotgun sequence.
UUAGGCUAUGGGGACAUGUACCCCCAAACGUGGUCCGGGAUGCUGGUGGGAGCCCUGUGUGCUCUGGCGGGGGUACUGACCAUAGCCAUGCCGGUGCCUGUCAUCGUCAACAAC